rnacentral:rRNA from 1 species
AUUGAACGCUGGCGGCAGGCUUAACACAUGCAAGUCGAACGAGUGGCGGACGGGUGACUAAUGCUUGGGAAUCUUGCUUAUGGGGGGGGAUAACUACGGGAAACUGUAGCUAAUACCGCGUACCAUAGGAUGAGCCCAAGUGGGAUUAUGUAGGUGGUGAGGUAACGGAUCACCAAGCCGACGAUCUCGAGCUGGUCGGAGAGGAUGACCAGGCACACUGGGACUGAGACACGGCCCAGACGCCUACGGGAGGCAGCAGUGGGGAAUAGUGCGCAAUGGGGGCAACCUGACGCAGCCAUGCCGCGUGAAUGAAGAAGGCCUUCGGGUUGUAAAGUUCUUUCGGUAGCGAGGCGUUAACUACAGAAGAAGCACCGGCUAACUCCGUGCCAGCAGCCGCGGUAAUUC